rnacentral:rRNA from 1 species
CCCCAGCGCCACAAGUGGUCAUCGCGAUUAUUGGGCCUAAAGCGUUCGUAGCCGGUUUGGUAAAUCUCUUGUGAAAUUGUUCGGCUUAACCGAACAGCGUGCAGGGGACACUGCCAGACUCGAGACCGGGAGGGGUCAGAAGUAUUCCAUGGGGACUGGUAAAAUGGGAUAAUCCAUGGAAGACUACCGAUGGCGAAGGCAUCUGACCAGAACGGAUCUGACGGUGAGGAACGAAAGCCAGGGGAGCGAACCG